CCUGGCGGAGUGACCCUCUAUGCUCACGGGCCCAGCGGAAAAAAGCAACUUUUCGUUUCUUCCUGUCGUUUUGUUUUCCUCUCCUACCCCUGGAAGGCGUCCUGUGGCCCCCAGGACCACAAGACCUUUGAGAUGGAGGAGCCACCCACAGGGCCGACGAGCUGCAGCCUGUGUGUCACGGCUUUUGAAACGCAACACCAGCCUAUCCCACCCUGAGACUUCAUUCUUUUACAAAUAUUGUUUAAUUAUUAUAUAGAGGUACUUUUGGACAGCCUAAACUGUUCCCGAUAUUUUUCAUGAGUCAACUUACUUGAUUAUACCAAAAAGCCCUUACAAAAUGGGAACGAUCAUACUCAUUUUACAGCCAACCUCCUCCUCCGCCAACCUAACCUGUGCUGGGUCACCCCAUCUCCUCUCUUCUCUCCGGGCCCUCGUUUGCCUGCAGAACUCCUUCAGUCUAAUGGCUUCAGAUACCAUCUGUAGUCGCUGAAGACUCCCUAACUGGUAACUCCAGUCCAACCUUGGGAUGCAAAUAUUACUGAACUCUAGAUUUAUAUAUCCAGUUAAUUACUCAAUGCCAUUUGCACGUGUGAUGGACAUCCCGAACCUAACAUACCCCCAGAUAUUCACCUAACCUGAUAGAAGAUCUUUCUGGGAAAACUGGGUCAAGAGAGGCCAGAUCCCUUAAUGGCUGGGGUUCCUCUGGGAAACAGCUCGCAGUGGGGUCCAGUGUGUCCCUGAGCCCAGUUGUAUUUGAAGGGCUCAUUCUAGGAAGAAGGGGCUUCUGGGCUGAGAACAGUCUUGGCAAGACAGCUUCCUUUUACUAUGGCUUUGUCCCUUGCACCCCACUCCCUUGCAGACAGACAGAGACACACACCAAAAAGCACUGUCUCAACAGGGAGCACUGCUGCCUUGGGUCUGCAUUUGGCAACAAUGCAAAAGAAGCCGGUCACAUGUGUGGUCCAAGGGCCAAGUGCAGUAAGGAGCAGUCUAUCUCCCAUGAAGGGCCGCUGAACAAGGGUUCUGUCCACCAAGUCUGAGACUUUGCUUUCUGUUUCCUUUGGGUUCUCUGGGAAAGGAAACUCUGGGAAUUCCCAUUCCUGAGUUUGCAGAAAACAUCUCUGUUAAAAGCCCAGCCAGGAGGGAGCAGAGCCCCACCCGAAUGCUGGGAGUCCAAGGGCGGGUCAGCAGCUGGCUUUCUCCCAGACAAUCACAGCUCAUGGGGGCUAAAUACAGCACUUGUACUUGCUGUUUUUACAUUUGGAAAGGCUUGAGUCCGACUGCCUUUCCUGCCCGAUCAUGGCUGAGGGACUGAGGGGCAGGGAGGCUGCUGCCCAGCAGGGCACCUGACAAAAAUAUCCCACUGCUGCUUUGCAGCUGCAGGGCACCUGUGUCCUGCCCACAUGGGCACAUUGUGUAUUGCCAGCUUCUCCACAGAUCACCUGAUCCGACAGGAUAAGCCUCGUGCUUUGUUUCCCUAGGACUAAGGGGCCAGAUGUAUCCUGGGUGGACAAACAGCAUUAUUUUAACAGUGGGAAGGUCUUUAAUCCAUUUUCUUGUAAACAUUCUAAGCAGGUAGCAUAUGGUUAUCACCAUGGGAAAAACAAGCUCUUUUUUGGUUCCUUCUGGUAAUUUGCUCUGGGCAAAUCACCCUGUUUUUCCUGAGUUCAGAUCUUCUUUUGCAAUCACGUUGAUUUUAUCCUGUGUUUAUGAUUUUCCCUGGUUCCGGAGGCCUGACCUGGGAAGACUGUCCUGUUUUAGGAGAGGACACUCAUCACAGGAAUUCUUCACUUUAUCUUUGGAUAACAUUUACUACCUGCGAUACCAGUGAGUUAAGCAACAUAUGACAAAUAAUCUAUGCUCUGUGGAGAGAGGCACAUGGAACUCCCAUACAAACCAUCAGGAAACCGCAGAGCCAAACAGAGAAAGUCAGGGUGAGCUGAAUUAGCAGCUUUUCAAAUUGCCUCUGAAAAGCAAGUAGUGUUGAUGAAAAGUUUUGUAACGCCCCAGAUGAUUGCAGAAGUGCACAGGCAUACCUUGUUUUACUGUGCUUUGCUUUAUAGUGCUUCACAGGUAUUGCAUUUUGUUUGUUUGUUUUAAUUGAAGGUUUGUGGCAACUCUGCAUUGAAUAAAUCCAUUGGUGCCAUUUUCCCAAUAACCUUUGCUCACUUUGCGUCUCUGUGUCACAUUUUGGUAAUUCUCACUGUGGACAAAAAAAAUGUAGCCAGCCAUUUCAGUAAACAAGAAAUGUUGGUGCUAUCAAGACAUCAGCCACUGCAGCUGCUCCAAGGGGUGCACCCUGAGGGCAGCUUAGGAUGGAGAGAAACAGGAUACUGGCCCUAGAUAGUUAAGAUGCGUAUCUAAGGAAUAAUUUUAAUGAACCCAGACUCUUGCAUCUUCCCAUACACCAAAAGGCACUAAAAUCAUUAACUUGAGACUUCUGCUUUUUGUGGUCAGCAGUCAUGUUUUGGUGUUCAACUACAUGUUUGGCUUUUUUUUUUUUUUUUUUAAGCAAAAACUCCUGCAUAUCUUGGUUCCUCCCCUACCUCUUUGGAACAGUUCCUCAGAGCUGUCUGACAGGCUGUCUCAUGGGAUAUAGUUCUCAGUAAGGUCCCCAAAUAAAACAUAACUCACAAAUUUUAGGUUGUGUUUUUUUUUUCAGUUGACAUCACAAUUUUCAAGCCUUUCAUUAUUAUAUUUGUUAUGGUGAUCUGUGAUCAAUAAUCUUUGAUGUUUCUAUUGCAAAAAGAUUACAACUUGGCUCAAAUGAUUGUUAGCAUUUUUUAGCAAUAACGUAUUUUAAAAUUAAGGUACGUACAUUGUUUUUUUACACAAAAUGCCAUUGUACACUUUAGACUAUAGUAGGGCAUAAAUGUAAUUUUUAUAUGCACUGGGAAACCAAUCUGUGUGACUCACUUUAUUGUGAUAUUUGCUUUAUUGCAAUGGCCUGGAACCAACCCUGCAACAUCUCUGAGGCUGACCAGGUGACCCUCAGUCCUUUCUAGCCACGGUGACACUGCUGACUGCAUGUAGACUGUAUCCUCUGAUCGAGGUCUCUGCUGACUGCCUGAAUGGGGCCUGACUGCACACAUAGAAGCCUUUCUAAGAAUCAUUCAGCCAGAUGCCAGAAUCGGAACCAGUCCCCUGACCGCGGGCCCUCACAGCAGCCUCUCUCCUUCCCUGCCUAAGAGGGACUCUGGGACCGAGCUUCCCCUGCAGAGGGAGAGACAGAUCAUUGGGAUGUGCAACCUGGCUGACCUCACACAGCCGGGCCCUGAGGUAGCUUCCCCAGGAGCCAGCAGGUAACACCUGCUCACCUUUCCAUUGAACUGGUCCCCUGCACCUGCAAACAUCAGCUGGUGCAGGCAGUUCCAAUAACUGCUGCUUUGGGACAGGCCUAGGAUUCCGGCUAGCGUGAAAGGCCCAGACGAGGCAGAAGGUGCACAAGCAGGCCCCCGCUCGGUUGUUCCUCCAGAGCAAUGUCACCAGCAGAACACACAACCCUGGUCCAGGGCCCACCCGUGCUCCUGCCUGACUCUCCCGGGCAUCUUUCAGCAGCUUGUGCCUGUCCUGUGCUGGCGAGAUUGCCGAGGCUAGAUGAGUGGUCUGGGCUGCAUCCCCCUAUUCUGGCAGGCUGUCACCCCAGCUUGGUGUCAGUGUUGAGCAAGGGGUCAGAGGGCGGUGCUGGGGAGCCAGGGUUAGCAGGUGUCCCCGAGCUGCGUGAGGACACCUGGCACACCUGGAGGAGAGAGGCCUCCCAGCCGCGGGCCCGGGUGCUCUGCCCUGCAGACUUGCCCUGACGUUCAGUACCCACGACUGGCUCUUUAAGUGCUGCUUACUUCAUGGUCAGUUUGAUUAUUUCUCUUUCCUCCUCUUCUUUUAAUUUUUCAACAAAACUGUCCAGCACCGGCAUUUCAAACUUAAUGUACUGAGCGACCUAGAAAAUCCAAGAACAUUUUAAUGUGUUUUAAAUUAGAAGCCAAAAGUGUGUUUUCUUUUCCUCGUGGCUUCCAUAGCGGCCGAUUCAUCAGUCUUAAAUCCAAGGAAGAGGCUGUCCUGCUUUCCUCCCACGCCCAGCACUGCUCUGUGUGUACCAGGAUGGGAGGAUGGAGCCCAUUCUUACCUCAAAGGCAACUAUGAUCGCUGGGAGGAAAGAUUAAGCUGAAUUUUAGGAAAAGCAUUGAAUAGACAGGAACGUAAUGGAAGACAGGUGUCCAGGGGGCCUGGCAACACUGCCAGGUGUUGUGUGGUGGACACUGCCCUGAUGAUGUGUGAUCAUGUCCUUCAGUGAAGGCCCAGCUCCGAGAGGAACAGUGGCUGAAGGAGCGGGGGAUGGGGAAGUGGACUUGGGGAGGCCAGGCCUGCUCAGUUAUCAGACCUGUGCUGUGCAGCACUGGACACAGGGCCAUGCAGUACAAGUUCUGCAACAGCAGUUCUCAGUGGGCGAGGGGCUUCUGUUCCACCUUGAAGACCCAGAUGCACAUUCCUCCCCACUCCCUGCUGAACCUACUGGAGAGAGUGGCUUACCAUGUGGUUUUGGUGGGAUUCUCAAAGGGAUGACAAUGUGCCUGGAUUUGGGCCUGGGAGGGAUGCUCGUGGUGGGGGCAUAGCAUGUCCCGAGGCCAGGAGGGCACCUGCCCCGUGCCCGCUGCACAAGCCAGCCCAGCCCUCAGAGAAGGAGCACAGCUGGUGAGCUUGCCAAAUGGACAGGGACUUUUGUUUUUAUGAUCAGGAAGCAAAGGCAGACACUUACCCCCAGACUCGUGAACGAUGUAGAGUGCAAACUCACUGGGACCAUUUUCCACCUGCACAGGUAGUAAUAGGAAGUCAGACCACGGCUUUUCCAGACAGGAGAGACAGAAAGGGACCCCUGGUAGUAACCACAUCCUCAGUGCCACACACACAAAUCCCCAGGGACCCUCCCCUCUCUCUGCUUAAAUUCCCAGAGAUGCCAGCUCAGCUGAGGAAACCUUGGUCAUCCUUCUAGCCAGGAGCCAUGGCUUUCUCCAGCCCCCUCCCCCAACAAAACAGCAAACCACCAGCAACUGGGGCAGGGCCGUCUGUGGCCAGACUUACUCGGA